rnacentral:rRNA from 1 species
UACGGAGGGUGCAAGCGUUGUUCGGAAUUACUGGGCGUAAAGAGCGUGUAGGCGGCCGAUCAAGUCCGGUGUGAAAGCCCGGGGCUUACCCCCGGAAGUGCGCUGGAAACUGAUUGGCUCGGGUAUGGGAGAGGGAAGUGGAAUUCCUGGUGUAGCGGUGAAAUGCGUAGAUAUCAGGAGGAACACCGGCGGCGAAGGCGGCUUCCUGGACCAAUACUGACGCUGAGACGCGAAAGCGUGGGGAGCAAACAGG